UUUCAUAAAACUAGGAUGUCUAUGCAGCAUAAAGACUCAAAUACUUUUGAAAUUGGAGCUGUAUGAAAAGAGAAAACGGGAAAGGGCUGUGGCAUUUGCGUUGACUCAAGAGGUGGAACAACUACAACUACCAGAAUGCAUUGUGCCGCAUCGGCCCAGUAAGCACUUCCUGUUCCAACAAGAAACAAUAUGGCGGACUCUACCCACUGAUGCAGAAGACAGGAAGUAAUCAGUGAAAACACCUGCUGAGCUAAGCAGUUCAAAGGAAACCCUGCAAACACUCCUGAUGAGACUGGGACCAGGACUCAUCAUCCUCCACUUUGAUCACUGCAGUCGUCACUUUGGUCGGCUCACCUGCAGCAGGCUGCAAUCAGAGCACAGAGAGAAUAAAGACCCGAGACAGAGAGGGAGAGGGAAGACUAUAAUCUGCAGCUGUGACGUCCUGCUAACA